rnacentral:tRNA from 1 species
GUGGACGAAGCAUUUAUCUGGAUGAUGUUCGGUUUGUGACACCGAGGAAGCGAGUUCGAUUCUCGUCGUUCACCCCA